CCUACGGGUGGCAGCAGUGAGGAAUAUUGGUCAAUGGUCGGGAGACUGAACCAGCCAAGCCGCGUGAGGGAUGAUGGUACAGAGUAUUGUAAACCUCUUUUGUCAGGGAACAAAGGCGGGGCCGUGUCCCCGGAUGAGUGUACCUGAAGAAAAAGCAUCGGCAAACUCCGUGCCAGCAGCCGCGGUAAUACGGAGGAUGCGAGGGUUAUCGGGAUUUUGGGGGUUAAAGGGGUGCGCAGGCGGAGGGUAAAGUAAGCGGUAAAAGCCCGGGGCUAAACCCCGGCCCGCCGUUGAAACUGGCAGUCUGGAGUGGGAGAGAGGUAGGAGGAAUGCGUGGUGUAGCGGUGAAAUGCAUAGAUAUCGCGCAGAACUCCGAUUGCGAAGGCAGCUUGCGGGCUCCAGACUGACGCUGAGGCACGAAAGCGUGGGUAUCGAACAGGAUUAGAUACCCUUGUAGUC
rnacentral:rRNA from 1 species